rnacentral:rRNA from 1 species
UACGGGGGGGGCAAGCGUUGUUCGGAAUUACUGGGCGUAAAGGGCUCGUAGGCGGCCAACUAAGUCGGACGUGAAAUCCCUCGGCUUAACCGGGGAACUGCGUCCGAUACUGGAUGGCUUGAGUUCGGGAGAGGGAUGCGGAAUUCCAGGUGUAGCGGUGAAAUGCGUAGAUAUCUGGAGGAGCACCGGUGGCGAAGGCGGCAUCCUGGACCGACACUGACGCUGAGGAGCGAAAGCCAGGGGAGCAAACGGG